UUCUUCCUUCAGGCUUUCUUCCAUCAAAUAUUUGUGGAGCUGGAACUGGGCUUCACUAUCAUAUUCCAAGGCCCUGUACUGGGAACAGACGAAGAAGCUCCUCCCAGAGACUGGAAGAAUGGUACAAGGUGUGAAAACCAAGGCUUAAAGCAUGCAAGUUAUUUGCCCAAGGUUUUUCAGCCACAAAUGAAGAAGCUGGGUCUGCUCCACACCUGUGAACCAGUCUAUUUCCACCAUAACCUGAACUCAGAUUAGCACCAGCCCAUGGAGAAUAGUCCAGAAGGCUGCCCAUAGCCUUAAAGGACAGUGUGAGCAUUAAUCACAGCCUGGUGCAUUUGAAGACCACCUCCGGAACAAUGUCGUUUUAAAUCUAUGCCCAAGGCUGAACUUGGAUUGGAAAGAUGGGAGAGACAGCAGGCCUGGGUGUAUUCAGGAUUAUUUCCUACUAACUCACUCUCUCCUCCCUCCUCCCUUUCUUGAAAGUGAGUGGUUAGGGAUGAGCGGUUGCAGGCAGAGAUGACAGCAUGAGAUAUUUCACCGAAGAGUGGGUGUUUAACCACCACUUGUCUAGGAGAUGGGCAACAUGUCCCAGAGAUGAUUCUAACAGGGAACUCUUCCUGGCAGAGUCCAGUGAAGGGAACCAGGAAAUUCGGGGGCAGGGCAAUCCCACUUUCUCUGUCAGGCGAGAUCACCUGCGCAGUGGUUUGAGUUCAG
rnacentral:lncRNA from 1 species